rnacentral:rRNA from 1 species
CCUACGGGAGGCAGCAGUGAGGAAUAUUGGUCAAUGGUCGCGAGACUGAACCAGCCAAGCCGCGUGAAGGAUGACUGUACUAAGGAUCGUAAACUUCUUUUGUCAGGGAAUAAAGUCUGGCACGCGUCCCUUUUUGUAUGUACUUUAUGAAUAAGGAUCGGCUAACUCCGUGCCAGCAGCCGCGGUAAUACGGAGGAUCCGAGCGUUAUCCGGAUUUAUUGGGUUUAAAGGGAGCGUAGAUGGGGUGUUAAGUCAGUUGUGAAAGGUCGCGGCUCAACCGUAAAAUUGCAAUUGAGACUGGCAGCCUUGAGUAGAGUUGAGGUAGGCGGAAUUCGUGGUGUAGCGGUGAAAUGCUUAGAUAUCACGAAGAACUCCGAUUGCGAAGGCAGCCUACCGAAUUGCCACUGACAUUGAGGCUCGAAAGUGUGGGUAUCAAACAGGAUUAGAUACCCGAGUAGUC